CCAGACUCCUACGGGAGGCAGCAGUGGGGAAUAUUGCACAAUGGGGGAAACCCUGAUGCAGCAACGCCGCGUGAGUGAAGAAGUCAUUCGUGAUGUAAAGCUCUAUCAGCAGGGAAGAAAAUGACGGUACCUGAGUAAGAAGCCCCGGCUAACUACGUGCCAGCAGCCGCGGUAAUACGUAGGGGGCAAGCGUUAUCCGGAUUUACUGGGUGUAAAGGGAGCGUAGACGGUUAUGUAAGUCUGGAGUGAAAGCCCGGGGCCCAACCCCGGGACUGCUUUGGAAACUGUGUAACUAGAGUACAGGAGGGGCAGGCGGAAUUCCUGGUGUAGCGGUGAAAUGCGUAGAUAUCAGGAGGAACACCGGCGGCGAAGGCGGCCUGCUGGACUGAAACUGACGUUGAGGCUCGAAAGCGUGGGGAGCAAACAGGAUUAGAUACCCCCGUAC
rnacentral:rRNA from 1 species